UGCUUUUUCCUGUGUGCCAUUAUUUUCAUCAAUAGGCCCCAUGACUGCCUUCCUCAUCACCCCUGCCUCAGACUGGCUUCUGUGAGGAAAAGAAAGAACAACUAUUGGAAGAGCAGCAUGACCACUGUACCUCAUAGGGAUGUAGCCCUGAAGGCCUUUGAUUUGUCACUACCUGGAAGCAGAAGAGAAGAAUUUGGACGUCCUUAGAGGGGAGUGUCAAACAUGGCUAUCCAGGGGAAUAUGAUGGAUGAAGACCUAGGUGGACCCAGCUGUACCAAAAGUUUAUCCUGCAGCAUUACCGAACAACAACUGAUGAUAAAGGCACAAAAAUCGUGGGCUACCUUUGAGCCCUCUCAUCACUUCUCUCUGCAUGACUUCCAGUUCUGCCAUACUUUUUCUGAAGAAAGGGCACAAGACCUCCAUCUGAGGAAGUACCCCAUAAUCAGACCCUGCAAUCAUGUCCUGUAUGCUCUCCAUGUUGAGUACAAAUCAGAUUCAUGGACUCUGAGGUUAACAUCACCCAAAGGUCUGCUGGUCCAAGCCCAGGGGCUCUGAGCAAUCUCUCUAUCAAUUAAAUGUUGCAGUUCAUUAAUGACUUUCUUGCAUGAAUGGGUGUCACUGGUUGAGUCAGUGCUUGGAAAACUGUUCAUUCUCCUGUGUGGCUCUUUGCUCGGCUGGGAGUGCUGUCACUCAGCCAUACAUUCCCAAUUGAUUUUGGGUUUUGUGCCAAAUGAACCUGAUCCCCAACCACAGCUGCCGCACGACCUCCCUGCAGCUCCUGGCUGAUGGGGCUGAUCCCAGACCUGGAUGGACCACCUACAGGAUAAGAGGAUCACUCUGUUUCCAGGACUAUUCAGCCUUGUUUUUUUUCUGAGCCUAACAACACAGAGGGCACUUGCGUUGUGGGAUUUCUGCAAGACAUCUGCAGAGAGGAGCCAAGGCAACAACAGCAGAUCCACAGGACACAUUUUGGGCGGUUGCAGCUCAGCCCCAUGUAGGGUGCUUCCUCCCCCUGACCUGCUGUCCCACCACCAGCCUGUCUUCGCCCAGCGCUCCCACUGGGAGCCCUCAGAUGUGUUCCAGGCAGGACAGGGAAAGCAGGCAGGAGAGGUCCCGGGCUGCCCGGGCUCACCGGGCUGCUCCCGGCAGUGCCUCCCCUUCUCCCGAGCAACAUAAGUGGGUUUUCGUCCCCUCCCUUUCUGAGCUGCACACCCUUCCGCUUUGCCCUAAAAACCACACCUGAAUAAGUCACUAGAUGGCAGCAGCAGUCCCAGGAAGAUCUUCCCGAAACGCCUUGAUUUGCUGGGUGUACCUAUCACUAGCUCUCCAGUUUCUCCAAAAAUACUCUCCCACCUUGCAGUUAGCAACAUUCCUGCACUUCCAGUCCCUUGAGUUAAACCAGUCAGAGGGAGUGAAUAGAAAAAGACGUGUUUGAGUCCUAGAGAGGAGUCACUACUCACACUGCAUGAAGCGUAAGCACAACAAAUCUUCCUGAUUCUGUUUUCUAUAUGGGCAGCUGAGCACCAGGUUUAUCUUCUAGCUCUGCCACUGAGCUUUGUGUGAUGAUGGGGGAAUCACUUCACUGUUUCGUGCUUCAGACUCUCCCUGUCAGGUUGGUGUAAGGCACACCGAUAGAGGUUUUGGGAUUGGGCACUGGACAAAAAGCUGUCUGGCAGCACCACAGCAAAGGAUUUGUCAGUGAAUAACCACUAUUUUCAGAGACACACCAUGACCUGAAGGAUCCAGGUUGUGCAGACAGACUGAUGAGGCUGAAGUCUGCAGUGGAUUUCAGCAGCAAUGUGUAUAGGGUUUUGCUGCCCUGAAUCAGAAAUGUGGGCAGGGUUUGAAUCAUUGCAACUUCAAGAAGGGAUAAAAUGUAUAUAUAAUACCAACUUACUUUCAUUAAAUACAUUUUAUUCUCAAGAUCCCCACCGUACUUGCUGCAGAGCUCAUUAUAAACUCUGGGAUAUACUGACUUCCAGGCUGGUGCAGUGUCAAUCCCAGGCAUGGAGGUGGGCGGCUGGUUUAUCCCCUACACAGGAGAAGCACCUUAUAUUUUAGGCAUGCAGCCCCUAUAGGUACCUAACCUAUUUUCAGCAGAUUUCUGCCCUGCACCCAGGUUCCCCCAGACACCAGCGGUAGCUAAGAGAGAGGAGCUCUGAUCCGCAGAGCUGGAUAAAAGGAGCAGGCUGUGAAAGGGAAAUCCUCAGGAUGUUUAGUACUAUUUGCACAAGCAUAGUGGAUGUUAAGUCGGGUUCUGGAAAGUCCUGAGCCUAUUCAGCAUUUGUGGAAACAAGAAAUGAAGGUGCAGAGCACCGUCCCAGAGCAGUCACAUUGCACCUCAUGCUAGGGACUAGAGUGCAAAGAGGCUACUGGGUCUUCUGCCUAGCUGUGCUGUGCCAGGACGCUGUCCCCAGUCCUCCCAGCAACUAUUUAAAAGAUCAAAUCAAAUUACCCCCUGGCUGAAUCUAUCCCAUAUAUCGUUCGUAACAUCCUCCUCCAGCCCCAUUUGCCAGACUCACUGUCUCUCUGCACGGCCAUUAAUGAAUUGCCAGAGCAAGCUGCUGCAACACUGGGCCUCUGUGAAGGUCUGAG